ACGAACGCUGGCGGCGUGGCUAAGGCAUGCAAGUCGAACGGAACGUGCCGCGUGGUAACACAUGGCACGUUUAGUGGCGAACGGGUCAGUAAUACAUGGGUAACGUGCCCCGGACACAGGGAUAGCGGCGUCCCGACUUGUCGGGACUUUGCGAAAGUGCCGGUAAUACCUGAUGACGCUUACCGCUCGCAUGGGCGGUAAGCCAAAGGGUGGGCUUCACGGCCUAACGGUCUGGGAUCGGCCCAUGCCCUAUCAGCUUGUUGGUGAGGUAACGGCUCACCAAGGCUUCGACGGGUAGCGGGGCUGAGAGGUCGGCCCGCGACAUCGGGACUGAGACACUGCCCGGACACCUACGGGUGGCUGCAGCAACGAAUAUUCCGCAAUGGGCGAAAGCCUGACGGAGCAACGCCGCGUGCAGGAUGAAGUCUUUCGGGAUGUAAACUGCGAUAGUCUGUCAGGAAGCAAUCCCGUCGAAGAGGCGGGGGCGUUGACCAGCAGAUGAAAGGGACGGCUAACUCCGUGCCAGCAGCCGCGGUAAGACGGAGGUCCCUAGCGUUGUUCGGAAUCACUGGCUUAAAGCGCGUGUAGGCGGGCCGGCGCGUACCUUGUGAAAUCCCUCGGCUCAACCGAGGAACUGCUUGGUAUACCGCCGGUCUUGAGCAGUAGAGGCGCCUGACUCUAGUGGAGCGUGAAAUGCGUAGAUAUCUAGAGGAACGCCUGUGGCGAAGCGGGGCGCUGGGCCUGUCCUGACGCUGAGACGCGAAAGCGUAGGGAGCGAACGGGAUUAGAUACCCCGGUAGUCUACGCCGUAAACGAUGCGCACUAGGUACAAGCCCUUCUGACGGGGAUUGUGCCGAAGCAAAAGUGAUUAGUGCGCCGCCUGGGGAGUACGGCCGCAAGGCUAAAACUCAAAGGAAUUGACGGGGGCUCACACAAGCGGUGGAGCAUGUGGAUCAAUUCGAAGCAACGCGAAGAACCCUACCUGGGUUUGACAUGCACGGAUGCGUCCGGGGAAACUCGGAGCCGCUGCCUUCGGGUGAAACGUGCGCAGGUGCUGCAUGGCUGUCGUCAGCUCGUGCUGUGAAGUGUCGGGUUAAGUCCCUUAACGAGCGAAACCCUUGCGUCUAGUUGCCAGCGGGCCAUGCCGGGGACUCUAGACGGACUGCCGGUGUCAAACCGGAGGAAGGCGGGGACGACGUCAAGUCAUCAUGGCCUUUAUGCCCAGGGUUUCACACGUGCUACAAUGGGGCGAACAGAGCGACGCGAAACCGCAAGGUGGAGCAAAUCGCAAAACGCGCCUCCCAGUUCGGAUUGGGGUCUGCAACCCGACCCCAUGAAGUCGGAAUCGCUAGUAAUCGCGUAUCAGCACGACGCGGUGAAUGUGUUCCUGAGCCUGUACACACCG
rnacentral:rRNA from 1 species